rnacentral:rRNA from 1 species
AGCAGCCGCGGUAAUUCCAGCUCCAAUAGCGUAUAUUAAAGUUGUUGCAGCUAAAAAGCUCGUAGUUGAAUUUCGGGAUCAAUUUGCCGGUCGGGACCUCUGGUACGUACUUGUAUUAUUGAUUUCUUUCAUUCUGAUAAAUCAUUGAUGUCAUUAAUUUGAUGACUUUGAGGAAUCGGAACUUUUACUUUGAAAAAUUAGAGUGUUUAAAGCAGGCUUAUUAGGCUUGAAUACAUUAGCAUGGAAUAAUGAAAUAGGACGAUUGAUCCUAUUUUUGUUGGUUUCUAGGAUUGACGUAAUGAUUAAUAGGGAUAGUUGGGGGGGGCAUUAGUAUUCAAUUGUCAGAGGUGAAAUUCUUGGAUUUAUUGAAGACUAACUACUGCGAAAGCAUUUGCCAAGGAUGUUUUCAUUAAUCAAGAACGAAAGUUAGGGGAUCGAAGACGAUCAGAU